GGAAACUUAAGGGAAAGUCCUUUGGAUGGUA
rnacentral:piRNA from 1 species